rnacentral:rRNA from 1 species
GUAGUGACGAAAAAUAACGAUGCAGAACUCAUUACGAGGCUCUGCAAUCGGAAUGAGUACACUCUAAAUCAUUUAACGAGUAUCCAUUGGAGGACAAGUCUGGUGCCAGCACCCGCGGUAAUUCCAGCUCCAAUAGCGUAUAUUAAAGUUGUUGCGGUUAAAAAGCUCGUAGUUGGAUCUGUGUGCCAUACUGUUGGUUCGCCGUUUGACGGUGUAUUUACUGACAUGUUAUGGUACGUCCUGCCGGUUGGCCGUGGGAUGUCAAAGUCUCGCGGUCAGUUUUUGAAUCCUGUUGCGGUGCUCUUAACCGGGCGCCGUGAUGGGCCGGCACGUUUACCUUGAACAAAUUUGAGUGCUUAAAGCAGGCUAUGAUGCCGGAAAACUGUGUGCAUGGAAUAAUGGAAUAGGACCUCGGUUCUAUUUUGUUGGUUUUCAGAAUCCGAGGUAAUGAUUAAUAGGGACCGGCGGGGGCAUUAGUAUUGCGACGUUAGAGGUGAAAUUCUUGGAUCGUCGCAAGACUAACCUAAGCGAAAGCAUUUGCCAAGGAUGCUUCCAUUAAUCAAGAACGAAAGUUAGAGGUUCGAAGGCGAUCAGAUACCGCCCUAGUUCUAACCAUAAACGAUGCCAGCCAGCGAUCCGCCGGUGUUGACUAGAUGACUCGGCGGGCAGCUUCCGGGAAACUAAAGCUUUUGGGUUCCGGGGGAAGUAUGGUUGCAAAGCUGAAACUUAAAGGAAUUGACGGAAAGGCACCACCAGGAGUGGAGCCUGCGGCUUAAUUUGACUCAACACGGGAAAUCUCACCAGGCCAGAACACCAGGUGGAUUGACAGAUUGAGAGCUCUUUCUUGAUUUGGUGGGUGGUGGUGCAUGGCCG